GGGAAACAGCAGAUGGUCAAGACAGUUAUACUGACCUUACAUCAAACCAAGCAGAUGUCAUCCAUGUGCCAAAUAUGGCACGCCAUUAGCUCAGGCAUGAACAGGAACGUUACAAAAUCAUAUCUUAUGAAAGGCUUGUUGUGAAAGCUAGCCAGUGUUACAGUUUUAAGGGUGACCGUGUUUACUGGUGACUUUAUGCCGAAUGCGUCUGUGGUUGUCGUAGCUCCGAAAGUGUCUCAAUGACUGCCUUUCUGUACAGUCUUUUAAUUUGAACGUUCACAUAUACGAAUCGUAUGUCUCUAAAGACAAAAUAAACAAUACAUUCAUUUAGGCUCUCCUUGUCUUCAACAGAUGAUUUAACUGCGACAGCACGGAACGCAUACCGGUAGGUCUGAAAGACGCCAGUCAACAUGGUCACCAGUUUAACCAUAACACCACUGCUGCAGCGUCUUAUGACGUCAUGUUGGAAAGGCAGCCGUGGUCAGAAGUGACUUGUUCGCACGACCUGCAUGAACUUUUACAAGAUGUCCGGCUACAAGAGUCAUUUUAGCAAAGUUCCUCUGGCAGGUUAGCCAGGAAAGCUGCCACAAAUGUCACCGAGAAAGCUCCUUUAAGAGUUCGCUUUUCGAAGUCCCACAGUGAUGCUGCUGCUCUCCAUCAAUAUAGGAAGCAUUUGAGAUCACCUCUGUUCACACAGUGAACUCCCUGUGUGAUUUAAUGGGCCGCCUGUUUGUGAUCCUCCUGCAGAACAGCCAGCUGACUCACAGACUGAAUCUCUUCAGUAAGCUGCAGGAAAACAAGUCAAGUUUUCAAGCCCGCAGAAGACCUGCUCCUUUAGAGGUGGGCUGCACUCUGCGCCGAUAUGUUGAGCUACAUGUGGACAGAAAAAGGCAAGUGCAAUACUUGGAGGAUAGAGCCUGAC